rnacentral:rRNA from 1 species
GACGAGCGCUGGCGGCGUGCCUAAUACAUGCAAGUUGAGCGAUGAAGAUUGGUGCUUGCACCAAUUUGAAGAGCAGCGAACGGGUGAGUAACGCGUGGGGAAUCUGCCUUUGAGCGGGGGACAACAUUUGGAAACGAAUGCUAAUACCGCAUAACAACUUUAAACAUAAGUUUUAAGUUUGAAAGAUGCAAUUGCAUCACUCAAAGAUGAUCCCGCGUUGUAUUAGCUAGUUGGUGAGGUAAAGGCUCACCAAGGCGAUGAUACAUAGCCGACCUGAGAGGGUGAUCGGCCACAUUGGGACUGAGACACGGCCCAAACUCCUACGGGAGGCAGCAGUAGGGAAUCUUCGGCAAUGGACGAAAGUCUGGCCGAGCAACGCCGCGUGAGUGAAGAAGGUUUUCGGAUCGUAAAACUCUGUUGGUAGAGAAGAACGUUGGUGAGAGUGGAAAGCUCAUCAAGUGACGGUAACUACACAGAAAGGGACGGCUAACUACGUG